AACGAACGCUGGCGGCAUGCCUAACACAUGCAAGUCGAACGAGACCUUCGGGUCUAGUGGCGCACGGGUGCUUAACGCGUGGGAACCUGCCCUUAGGUUCGGAAUAACUCCCCGAAAGGGGUGCUAAUACCGGAUAAUGUCUUCGGACCAAAGAUUUAUCGCCUUUGGAUGGGCCCGCGUUGGAUUAGCUAGUUGGUAGGGUAAAAGCCUACCAAGGCGACGAUCCAUAGCUGGUCUGAGAGGAUGAUCAGCCACACUGGGACUGAGACACGGCCCAGACUCCUACGGGAGGCAGCAGUGGGGAAUAUUGGACAAUGGGCGAAAGCCUGAUCCAGCAAUGCCGCGUGAGUGAUGAAGGCCUUAGGGUUGUAAAGCUCUUUUACCCGGGAUGAUAAUGACAGUACCGGGAGAAUAAGCUCCGGCUAACUCCGUG
rnacentral:rRNA from 1 species